rnacentral:lncRNA from 1 species
CGCGUCGGCGAUCAGGGGUCUGGGCGCGGCGAGUGGCCGGCUCACCUCAUUCCUGCCAAGACCCAGGUCCGUGUUCUCACAGCGCUGCCAUCUUUCCUCCGUGUGAGCGUGUGCUGUGCGGAGAGUGGACCUCGGUGUGUGCGGGGCUGCGUGCACUGCCAUCGGCUCCCUCUACACGAGCCGCCGUGGACCCAGGGCUGAGCUGUGACCACGAGGGCCAUCCCGACGAGCCGCCAUGGACCCAGGGCUGAGCUGUGACCACGAGGGCCAUCCCGAAACUGUGAUUGUUUUCUGGUAUGUGGGGGAUGUGCCAGAACCAGGGCUGAGCUGUGACCACGAGGGCCAUCCCGACGAGCCGCCAUGGACCCAGGGCUGAGCUGUGACCACGAGGGCUAUCCCGACGAGCCGCCGUGGACCCAGGGCUGAGCUGUGACCACGAGGGCUAUCCCGACGAGCCGCCGUGGACCCAGGGCUGAGCUGUGACCACGAGGGCUAUCCCGACGAGCCGCCGUGGACCCAGGGCUGAGCCGUGACCAUGAGGGCCAUCCCGAAACUGUGAUUGUUUUCUGGUAUGUGGGGGAUGUGCCAGAACCAGGGCUGAGCUGUGACCCGAGGGCCAUCCCGGAGCUGUGAUUGUUUUCUGGUGUGUGGGGAAUGUGCCAGCACUCACGUGGCUAUGGCUGCUUUUGCACCAUGGGUGCGUGUGCCAAACAGGAGAGCAGCUCUGCCCAGCAGAAGCCACUUAGAGGGUCUCAAGGGGUCUGCAGACCACCUGUAAGAACAACUUGUUCUGAGACGAGGGAGACCCCACCAUGCUGGGCACAGCCCAGCUGGGGUGCGGUGGGGGGGCACACCCUGUCCACGGCACCGCAGAAAUGAUGCUUGGUGGAUGGGAUGGCAACGGGACCAGGACCCGCUGGCUGGGCUGUGUCUCCAUCUCAGCCCCUCUUUUUGCCAAUGCAAAACAGUUGAGUUUCACAAGGGCCUUGUGCGGAUGAGAAGUGCCCUGUGAUCUCACUGCCCACCUUCUCUCGCCUCUCAGCUUCUUUUCUGAAGUUUCCUGGGCCUCCCCGCUGCCUGUUCCCAGGGGAAGCAAAAAGGAGCUGGUAUUUGGGGCUGGAUAAGCAAUACUGCAGUGAUCUGCGUCUUCCUGUGGAUGUAUCACAGGCUCACCCUCACUCAGAGAACAAGCACAGGGGAGGGGAGGAGAGGGGAGGGAGAAGCAGGGGAGCUGCUGAAGAGAAGGGGCUGCUUUAAGAUUCCCAGAUUUGGCGUUGAGGUGGGGGUUUCUGGGAAGGAGCUGGGGUGGCAGUGCUGAUUGACAUCCUGUGGGAAGGUGGCCCUGCAUUUCCUUGGGAUUCCCAGAGAUGGCGCGUGACCCCUGGCAAGAUGGGAGGCGUCUAUCUCCCCUGUUAGGCUGGGCCCUGGGUCUGAAACUCUGCC